rnacentral:rRNA from 1 species
UAGCUUGUUGGUGAGGUAAUGGCUUACCAAGGCGACGAUUAGUAACUGUCUUGAAAGAGAGAUCAGUCACACUGGUAAUGAGAAUGCACCAGACUCCUACGGGAGGCAGCAGUAGGGAAUAUUUUACAAUGAGCGAAAGCUUGAUAAAGCAAUGUUAAGUGAGGGAUGACACAUCAAGGUGCGUAAACCUCUUUAAUUCAGGAAGAAGAAUGACGGUACUGAAUCAAAAAGCACUGGCUAAUUUGCGUGCCAGAAGCCUCGGUAAUACGUGAAGUGCAAGUGUUAUCCAAUUUGAUUAGGUUUAAAACAAGCGUAGAUGGCGUUAAAAGUCAAUUUUUAAAGGCGCGGGCUCAACCCGUGUAANGGAGUUGAAACUUUAACUGCUUGAGUCAAUUAGAGGCUAAAGGAAUUCCCAGUCGAGUGGUGGAAUAUGUUGAGUUUGGGAGGAACACCAAUAGCGAAAGCAUUUAGCUGGGAUUAGACUGACAUUAAGGCUUGAAAGCUAAAGGAGCGAAAAGGAUUAGAGACCCUUGUAGUUUUAGCUGUAAACACUGGAUGUUUGAGGUUGGAAGUUCCAUAAAACGAACUUCAGUCUCGGAGUGAAAACGUUAAACAUCCUACCUGGGAAGUACGUUGGCAACAAUUAAACUCAAAGAGAUUGGCGGGAUCUAACACCAGCUGAGGAUUAUGCUAUUUAAUUGGAUNAUACCCCAAGAACCUUACCAGGGCUUGCAUAUAAUUGAAGUCAGUGAAAGCUGACGUAGAACACGGUUUUCGGACCGAUCUAGUUUAUACAGGUAGUGCAUGGCUGUCGUCAGUUAGUGCUGUGAAGUGUUAGGUUUAGUCCUAAAACUAACGCAACCCCUGUCUUUAGUUCCAAAAAUGGUCUAGAGAGACUGCCAGUCAAAACUGGAGGAAGGUGGGGAUGAAGUCAAGU